UGGUCUCAAGUUGCAUGACAUGUAAGCGUAAUUUUGUAUUUGUGGACGACAAUGCAAAGUCUAUAUUGUUCUGUUUCUUUUCGCUUUUCAAAGUCAGUUGAGACGACUAAAGACACAAUUUCUUUUCAGAAAUCAAGUACGGACGUUCAGGGGUAUUCUGCCUCUAAAAUUUUAGAAAAGACUGCUUUAUUUUAGCAGUAAUAUCGUCGUUAAACUAAAAGGUGACGUUUUUCAACAUCCAGCGGCGUCAAGUCGAAGUACAUACUGAAAGAUUGUAUCGACUUGGAUUUUACGAGAUGAUGCAGAAGACUCCUGAGAACCUUUGUAUUCAAAAGAACUGUUGUCAUAAAUCGUCUUUAUUGACUUGAAAAGGCAACAAGAAAAGAUCACCGAUUUUCGCUUAAGCACGGUUCAAACGUCGUGCUUUUCAUGUGCCGAACCUAAUUCAUAUUUGGUACGGCAAAGAACGACGUGGCUCGACAUCGAUUCAAAAGUCGAACUUAAUUUGUCGAAUUUUGCGCAUGAUCACAACGAUCACAUUCGCAAAAAAAUUUUGCAAUAUGCAAAUUAACCUAUUAAUCUAGGGUCGCACGACACUUUUCUUACGUACGAUUUAAUAUGCAAAUAAGGGAAUUAAGACACUUGCUGGGCUACUUGCUGUUUACCCACCAUUUAAUUUGUCCACCACUUUUACAUCAUUAAACUUACUAUAAAUUUAGGGUCGCACUACGCUUUUCGUACGCGUUAUUUACCAGAUAGUUUGUGAAAAUUCAUUAAAUGUUUCAAUAUUUUAUAGCAGAUGAAAAAUACCUCAAUUUCAAUUAUUGGAUGCAAAGUAUCUACGAGGCAUAACGGUUAUGCCUCGUAGCUACGGUACAUACGGCAUAACGGUACAUAAGAAAUACAUCCAAACCUUUGCACAACAACUAUUAAACAAGAAAUUUAAAACAUUCUGUUCAACACACCAUGUAUAACAACAAUAAACUAAAAUUAUUACCACUCGCUUUAGUGAGGAUCGAUCGUCAUUUAAGGUCGGAGAUUUACAUUCAAUUGAAAUUUAUUUUCAACAUAAGUAAAAUAAAAUAAACAAGCUUUCUUACCUCUCACAGCAACCUCUCUUCUGAAGUAGAAAUCUCAUACACUUGACAAAGUAGGUCUGACUCUGACGAAUUACAAUGAGAAAUACUCUCUCGCCCCAGAUGUGGGUCGCCCACCGCAGAUGACGGAUUACAACGAGAAAUACUCUCUCCUGGUAUAUGAGAGUCGCACACCGCAGCCACACAAGUCAGAGCAACUACAGUCAGAGCAACUACAGUCAGACAGUAUUAUUUUCAGCCGCAUCGACAGUCACAGAAUAGUGGGCGUACAUAAACAGUUACAAGAACCAAUCAAAACCUUGUGAUUUCAUCACCCAACGAAAAUUCUGACUGCUUCGAGCUCAUGACAUCGUCAGACAUCACUUACGCUUUGACUUUCGUAAUGGAAACAUCUCCCAACCAAGGGUCAAAACAAGCUCUGAACAGAAGCAGUAUGAAGUACAUCAGAUGAACACGAAACAACACUGUUUCAUAAAACUAGUAAUGUUUAUUUUUAUUGUUGCUUUGUCCAUUUGCAAUGUCGAUAAAAUCAUAAAGAUUCUAUCGUUUUGUGAACUUUUGUAAUUUUACAGUGAACAUCUUAAUACACUUCCGCGUUUGAAAUUUCAAA